AUACAUAUUUAUUUAAAUCUUUGCAUAAGAAGCGCCCAGACUUAAUAAUUUUCUGGCCAAGAAAUGGCAGCUUCGGGCCCACAAACUUCUAACGGCCGGGUUGAAGAAGCACCACUUAAGGAUUUUGAAAGUGCGUUGGAAGCGUGUGGAUUUGGCAAAUUUAAUUACUGUCUCCUCAUUGUGUCCAUGCUGGCAGUAGCCGCAACUGUGUUUGAAACGUCAAACAUAUCGUACAUAUUGCCCACUGCAGAAUGCGAUCUUCAGAUUGGCUUAUUAUCAAAAGGAGUACUGAACGCUAUAACUUACGCAGGUAUGAUUAUAUCGGCAGUGCCUUGGGGCUACCUAGCGGAUACCACUGGCCGAAAGCAUGUGUUAAUGUACGGACUUCUUAUUGGCAGUUUAAUGGAUAUGGGAUGUGCUUGUAGCCAAACCGCAAUUCAAUUAAUCGUCUUCAAGUUUUUAGCCGGCUUUAUUAAUUGUGGUCCACUUGCGGUAGUCCUGACAUAUUUAUCUGAGUUCCAUAUAAAAAAGCAUCGGUCUCGAGUAUUAAUGAUUUUAGGUAUGAUUAAAACUAUCGAUUUGCUUAUAUUGCCCGCCAUUGCAACAGCAACUCUGCCACAUCAUAUAGCGUUUGAAAUAUGGGUUAUGAAAUUUCAUACAUGGCAUGUUUUCCUCGCUAUUACUGCUUUACCUGGUCUCAUCAGUGGUCUAGUACUUCCUUUUUUUCCGGAAAGUCCCAAAUAUCUUAUGGCACAAGGAAGAAACGUGGAAGCUUUGGCAACUUUCAAAACCAUAUACGCUUUGAACACGGGGAAAAGUAAAGAAUCUUAUCCGGUAAUAGCUCUAUUUGAAGAAGCGCCUGAAAAGGCUGCAAAGAUAGCGGCAAAAACUGAUAAAGAGCAGGAAGCGACAAACCCUUUGAGCAAGCAGCAGACCGCCAAAGAAACGUUUAAAGAUGGUCUGAAGCAAUUAAAGCCCAUGUUUUCCAGCCCUUAUUUGAAAUUUUGUUUUAUGGUGUACCUAAUGGGAUUUUCCAUAUUAUUGGGUCAGAAUUCGGUCCGGUUAUGGCUGCCUCAACUCUUCGCAUCCAUUGUAGAGUAUGAACAACUUUAUGGCAGCACAACUAGUAUGUGCACCAUAUUAGAAUAUAAUGUGAAUAGAACUCAUCUAAUUAAAAACGUAGAUGAGAUGAAAACGUGCGAUGUUCAUAUUAGCUUUGAGUCUUAUACAAACAAUAUUGCUGUCUCCGGAUGUACCGUUUUCGGAUUCUUUUUGGUCAGCUUUAUAAUCAACAAAAUCGGAAAUAAAACCGUGCUGAGUAGGAAAAGUUGUAAAAAAAACGAGGGCGGUCCGAAAGUUUUAUUUUAGUUACACUCUACUUGACUCAGUGAUGAUUCGAACUGUCUACAUCGUCUGAAAUAUUUAUUUUCUGGGGGUCUGAAAAGUAGACUCAAAUUUCUACUGGAAAGUGAAUUUAAUGAAAUAUGAAAUAAAGAAUAAGUCACAAAUUGCCAAAGUAGAAUAUACGAUGGCUGGGACAGCAGUAUGUUGUCUAAUUUGACCAAAUGAUAGUGAUAUGGUAGAAAUGUGAAUGCGUACGUUAUCACGGUGAAAAACAAAAUUGUUUCUGCAAUUCGCCGUCGAGUCAGGGGAUUCAUGUUUCCUCUACGGUCGCGACCGAUCCAGAAACUUCUUCUGAUUGCAUCUGAAUUUCGACAAAAACUGCUGUAAGGUAGCCGCAAAGUGUUCGAAGUAAGCAAACGCCCCACAUGGGCGCUGACAAUUUCUCCUACCCAAUACUUCUUGCCGAAUAUUACUCAUUGGUUUUGCUUACUAUCUGAGAUAUCUCCCGCAACUUGGUUACUUUUUGGGCCGCCCUUAUACAUAACAAUGGUGCGCUGUUGACAUCCUUUAUUUUUGCUGUAUCAUUUUAUUGGUCCCUAUCUGAAUAUUCUACCUUAGCCAUUUCGGCAAUUUUCGUAACUGCCAGUAGCAUAGCUGGUACCAC
rnacentral:misc_RNA from 1 species